UUCCGAAGGUCACGCCUUGCCUCUCCGGGACUCUGCCAUGUUGUCGACAUGAUUAGUGGCUUCUUCCUUCUUGGAGAAAUCCUUUUGGUUGAGGAUGUUGUCUGAGGACAACAAAUACAGCGCAACAAAUCAUUUGGUUACAUACAAUACGACAUUUGAGCUUUUUGGGUUGGUGAUCUAGAAGCCUUUGUCUUAACACAAAUGAUGGGCUGAAAUUUGACAACCUUCUAGAUCAGAGUUUGGUCAGGGCAAUACCUUACGUAGCGAAGUUCGAUAUGGAGUGUCUACGAUCAAUGAUGUCAUAAUUUGGUCAAGGCUAUACUUUACCUCGUCAAUUUCGACUUGGAGUGUC